UACCUGGGCUUGAAAGGCAAGAUUCUAGACGAUGAAAGUCGUUUACCCGCAAGGKGUCUUGUACAGGUGCUSCAUGGCUKUCGUCAGCUCGUSCCGUGAGGUGUUAGGUUAAGUCCUGCAACGAGCGCAACCCCUACACUUAGUUGCCAUCAGGUAAUGCUGGGCACUYUAAGKGGACUGCCUACGCAAGUARCGAGGAAGGUGGGGAUGACGUCMAGUCCUCAUGGCCCUUACGCCCAGGGCCACACACGUGCUACAAUGGCCACUACAAAGGGUUGCCMAGGCGCAAGCCGGAGCUAAUCCCAAAAAAGUGGUYUCAGUUCAGAUUGUGGGCUGCAACUCGCCCACAUGAAGCUGGAAUUGCUAGUAAUCGCGGAUCAGCACGCCGCGGUGAAUACGUUCCCGGGCCUUGUACACACCGCCCGUCAAGCCAUGGAAGCUGAGGGUACCCGAAGCCGCUGUGCUAACCGCAAGGAAGCAGGCGUCUAAGGUAAUAAGUCAGUGACUGGGGCUAAGUCGUAACAAGGUAGCCGUAUCGGAAGGUGCGGCUGGAUCACCUCCUUUCUAAGGAGUUAUGAUACGCGAGUAUCAUAUAUUCAACUUUUGAAACGACUAGCUUGACUGUUCCGUACACACAAAUUUUUGAAGUUCAUGAUGUUUACCGGGCCUAUAGCUCAGUUGGUUAGAGCGCACGCCUGAUAAGCGUGAGGUCAGUAGUUCAAAUCUACUUAGGCCCACGUAUAUUAAUCAGAAUACUUUAGCUGACAGGGUUAUGGGGCUAUAGCUCAAUUGGGAGAGCGCCUGCCUUGCACGCAGGAGGUUAACGGUUCGAUCCCGUUUAGCUCCACUUGUUUUUUUGUUCUUUGACAAAUUGAAAAGAAGCUGUUGAAACAAGACUGAGUAAUUCGUUUCGGCGAAUAAAACGUCUUUGAGUAAACGCUUUGCAUAUGUGGUCUUAACAAGUUUAUUGAUGCACCAAGGUAUAUGUGUACUCAAUAAAGAUUUUUGGUUAAGUUACUAAGAGCGUGCGGUGGAUGCCUUGGCACGAGAAGGCGAUGAAGGACGCGGUUACCUGCGAUAAGCGUCGGUGAGG
rnacentral:sRNA from 1 species